CGAAAAUUGAAAAGGACGCGUUAAUGCAUAUUGUAUUGACAUUCUUUAAGACGUGUAGUAAAAGCAUACUCACACACAGACCAGGUGAAAGAUUAUUUCUUCGAGCCCUGAGAAAAUGUAUACCCGCUACUACUACUACUACUACUUCUACUACUACCACUACUACUACUACUACUACUACUACUACUACUACUACUACUACUACUACUACUACUACUAUUACUACU